CCUACGGGAGGCAGCAGUGGGGAAUAUUGGACAAUGGGGGCAACCCUGAUCCAGCAAUGCCGCGUGAGUGAUGAAGGCCUUCGGGUUGUAAAGCUCUUUUGCCAGGGACGAUGAUGACGGUACCUGGAGAAUAAGCCCCGGCCAACUACGUGCCAGCAGCCGCGGUAAUACGUAGGGUGCAAGCGUUGUCCGGAAUUAUUGGGCGUAAAGAGCUCGUAGGCGGUUUGUCGCGUCGACUGUGAAAACCCGAGGCUUAACCUCGGGCCUGCAGUCGAUACGGGCAGACUAGAGUUCGGUAGGGGAGACUGGAAUUCCUGGUGUAGCGGUGAAAUGCGCAGAUAUCAGGAGGAACACCGGUGGCGAAGGCGGGUCUCUGGGCCGAUACUGACGCUGAGGAGCGAAAGCGUGGGGAGCGAACAGGAUUAGAUACCCUGGUAGUCCACGCCGUAAACGUUGGGCGCUAGGUGUGGGGGUCUUUCCACGAUCUCCGUGCCGCAGCUAACGCAUUAAGCGCCCCGCCUGGGGAGUACGGCCGCAAGGCUAAAACUCAAAGGAAUUGACGGGGGCCCGCACAAGCGGCGGAGCAUGCGGCUUAAUUCGACGCAACGCGAAGAACCUUACCAAGGCUUGACAUACAGGGAAAUCCUCCAGAGAUGGGGGGUCCGUAAGGGUCCUGUACAGGUGGUGCAUGGUUGUCGUCAGCUCGUGUCGUGAGAUGUUGGGUUAAGUCCCGCAACGAGCGCAACCCUCGUUCUAUGUUGCCAGCGCGUGAUGGCGGGGACUCAUAGGAGACUGCCGGGGUUAACUCGGAGGAAGGUGGGGAUGACGUCAAAUCAUCGUGCCCCUUAUGUCUUGGGCUGCACGCAUGCUACAAUGGCCAGUACAAAGGGCUGCGAUACCGUAAUGUUGAGCGAAUCCCAAAAAGCUGGUCUCAGUUCGGAUUGGGGUCUGCAACUCGACCUCAUGAAGUCGGAGUCGCUAGUAAUCGCAGAUCAGCAACGCCGC
rnacentral:rRNA from 1 species